UUGGAGAGGAUUCUGGGACUCAACACCACUUGCUGUAUUAAUAGCAUGUAUUAAUAUCUAUCUAUCCUUUAGAUGGAUAGAAAGAUAGACAGAAAGCCCACAUUGGUGUAGGUUUCAAGGCGCUUUUGUGGCACGUUGUGAAGAAACGCAGAAAUGGCAAAGCCUUGUGAAACGGACGGAAGAAAUAAAGGCAAAAUUUUUGAAAAUUUCCACAGCUUUUUCUGAAGGGACCAGG